CUGUGAUCUUCAAACACUCUGUCCACAUGAUUUGGUAGAAAUCCCAUCUCUAUAAAUUGUUGUUUCAAACCACUCCGUGAAGAACUUGCAAGAGAAUCCUAGGAUCAAUUAAGAAAAGAAAAUUAAAUAUUCUUCACAAACAUAUAAUCAAUUUUCAAAUAAAUCCCAAGUUAUCAAAGUAAUACCAGAAGAACAGUUAUUAGUUAAUUUUGAGAGUAAUCUGAAAAACAAAUACAGUUGGUUUACACAAAAGCGGAUAAUUUUACCAAAUCAGCUCUCUAUUAUAAAUGUAUUCCUUUCCAAUGAUUUUAUGAGAUCAUACUGAUAAUCGCAUCAAAACUCCAAAUUGUAACCCACCCAAAACUAAUAUAAGAAUACUAAUACAUAUAUGAUUCUUCAGUAUAUGAAGUCACACUAAAAUUGAUUACAUGGCUAGCAACGAAAUCCCAACUCUAAACAAAGACGAUUUUUGUAAUUGGAGUUCGAUACUAAAAGCAUAUUUUCAGAAUUAAGGUGUGUUUACUAGGGUUCUACUCAAAAUCUUUUGUCCAAUCAACAUUAGGUUGAAAUAUUCUUUUACUAAUGUUGUGAAAAUAAAUUAAAAUUAGUAAAACCUUCAAUGGAUCCAAAUUGAUUCUUAUCAAAGCAUAUGACAUUAUAGAUGUACCUUUAUCGGCUUUGAGCAGCUUGCACCAGAUGAAAAUUCCAAAGCCAAGACCCUCAUCGGUGGUGCACUUUCCACCUCAUCCUCCUGUUUUGGAGAACUCUUAAUGUCUGCAUAAUCUCCCAUUUUAUCCGAGCCCCUAUACAACAGAGAUAAGAGUAUAAAAGAAUAAUCAGUUCAAAGUUGUAUCAACAAAACACAAUAAAAGGAUUUCAGUAUUCACUAUCUCUAGUUGAACAUUUUCUUGUCUCUUUCAAUACAUGUAGCAAAUCACUUCAACAAGAUAACUUACUAUAUACUUGCAGUCCGAUUACUGAUAUUGCUAGAAUUGAUCUUGAAAUUCAAAGAUAGUACACACAUUAUGGUAAGACAGACAGUAUCUUAAUGUACACUUCAUUACUGAAAUAAAUAUGGAACAUGAUAUGACAAAAGCACAACAUAACACUUCAACAUACACAAGUUAUUUGGUCUAUGAAUCAGGAGUAAUAAUGUAGUAGUCUUCACAUGUAUUUCAACAUAAAAUUUCUAUCAAUUCGAUACAAACAAAUGUUUCAAAUUCCAUUCAAGAAAAUAAAUCGAAUGCAAUAUAAGUAUAUAACAUAGUCAUAGUGGUUUCAAAUAAAUUAGAAAAUGUACAAGCACAAUAUAUAAAGAACAAAGGGUACCCCCUUCAUCUUCAUUGUGAGUGACAAUGUGGAAGAUCCAGGUCUGUAUUUGAAUUUUAAGUGCCUUAAUGAAACUGGAAAAGCCUUAAAAGUUUUGAUUAUUACCUGACUUCAAAGGUGGAAUUUGAAGAGUUUGUCAUAUUCUUCCUCUGCACUUUUCAGCAAACUGAAAGAAAAAAAAACCAUGUAUUAUUUGGUGAAAAACAAAGAUUGAAAAAAGCUUCCAGGGAAGAAAACCCAUUUCACUACAAUUAAAAAAAACAUUAACCAAUGAAGAAAAUGUCAGAAGCAAAAACCCCCAUUCAUGAAAGAAACCCAAAACCGCAAAACCCAAAACCCAAUCAACAAAAAAAAACCCCAUUCAAACCCCAAAACCCAAUCAACAUAUUUCCUUGUUACUCAUAAAAUUCACAACUUCUCAUGUGUUCCUUGUUAAUUGUUAUAAUAAAAAAAAAUCAUCCACUACCAUUAAACUAAACUUUUAUUAUUCUUUUUUUUUAAUUCAAAUAAAAGUGUUGGGUAUGCUACAUUGUUGCCAAAUCAUGUACAAAAACUUACUUUUGGUGAAAAGGGGAUAUUGAACAUUUGAACACAUACCCAAAUCAUUUUUUGUUAAAAAAAUGGUGAUUGAACACAUACCCAUAUCAUUUUUUGUUGAGAAAAGGAUGAUUCAACACAUACCCAAAUCAUUUUUGGUUGAAAAAAGGUGAUUCAACACAUACCCAAAUCAUUUUUUGUUGAAAAAAGAGUGAUUGAACACAUACCCAAAUCAUUUUUUUGUUGAAAAAGAGUGAUUCAACACAUACCCAUAUCAUUUUUUGUUGAAGAAAGAGUGAUUGAACACAUACCCAUAUCAUUUUUUGUUGAAAAAGAGUGAUUCAACACAUACCCAUAUCAUUUUUUGUUGAAAAAAGAGUGAUUGAACACAUACCCAAGUUAGUUUCUUAACAUGCAAACACAUACCCAAAGUAAUUUUUCCAUUUUAUUUAAACCAGUCCAACUUAAAAAACAAUAACAACAACCAAAUCAAGACUAAGCAGGAAAAUCAAAAAAAAAAAAAAAACAGAGAGAGAGAAUCAUGGGUGUUUCUAAGUUCUAACCUGUUUGUUUGAAGAGAUUUUUUGUUUCUUCUUACAACAAUAAAUUCAAUCAAACAGUAUGAAGAAGAAGAAAGAAAGAAAAAGAAGUAGAGAGCUUUCAACUUUCAGGUGCAGAGAACACUAAAGUAGUGUGUG
rnacentral:lncRNA from 1 species